UACGAAGGGGGCGAGCGUUGUUCGGAUUUACUGGGCGUAAAGGGCGCGUAGGCGGCGCGAGAAGUCGAGUGUGAAAGCCCCGGGCUCAACCUGGGAAUUGCGCUCGAUACUCUUGUGCUUGAGUUCGGGAGAGGAGCGUGGAAUUCCCAGUGUAGAGGUGAAAUUCGUAGAUAUUGGGAAGAACACCGGUGGCGAAGGCGGCGCUCUGGACCGAGACUGACGCUGAGGCGCGAAAGCGUGGGGAGCAAACGGG
rnacentral:rRNA from 1 species